GGGCGUGUGGUCUAGGGGUAUGGCGUCCGUUUCGCAGCUUCUUCUCUCUGGUGUACGACUUGUUCUGCACUACUGAAAAGUACUUCGGAAGCUACGGAAGGUCGAGGGUUCAAUUCCCUCCUCGUCCA